CGACUUUCGCGCAGGCAGCGGCAGCGGCGGCGGCGGGUCCCUGAGCUGGAAGCCGGAGAGCAAGCCCUGGAGGUUCACUCUUUCAAGAAGUCGUGUGCUGAGGUGUAAUGCUACACAAGUCAGAGGAAGGAAGGGUCCUGAAACACAUGGCCUGAUUGUUGGCAAAGGCAUCGUAAGAAGCUGGAGUUUAUUUCUGUUCUAACCCAUUACUGUAUAACUGUGAAUAGACACUAUGCAUAUUUGUUGGUCAGCAAAACCAAGAAACAAGAGCUAUGGCAGUUGAAAAAGUCUGUCUCAUUCCAGGGUGUUUUUCCUGGGUUUCAUCAUCAGGUACCUCCUCCCUUUCAUCUCAGCAAGAAUGUGGCACCUUUUACCGUUUGAUAAAGAUUAAGGACAUGUUCUUUGGUCGACAGCCAGAACUUAAAAUCUGCUGGAAUAGGGUCAGAGACCAUUUCAGCUGCAGCUGAGGAAAAUGAAAUUUUCAUUUUAUUUGGUGCCUUGUCCAGGGAGCACACUAACUCUUCCAGAAACGUGUCAGUGAAACGGAGAUCGUUUUGUGGAAUAGCAACCCAUGGUUAUGGCGAGUGACCCGACGUGAUCUGGGGGGCAGGCUGCAGAGGACUCAUGACAGCCUGUAGCUCCCCUGCUGAGGCAGUGUGGUUAUGUUCCCAGCAGUGGGGGGUCGGACGCCCUUCCUCAGAACUUUCUAGUUGCCCUCUACCUGACUCCUGACUUGUAUUCCUUUUAGCAGUAGCCUUCUUCCCUCGGGGAGCCAAAGAGUGUGAUGUGUGGCGCUAUAUUGUA
rnacentral:sRNA from 1 species